rnacentral:lncRNA from 1 species
CGGUAAUACACCAUAAGCUGGUUUGCCAAACCGCGAUAAAACUCCAAAAGAAGAAGAAGAAGAUGGACGGCGCACGUGUUUAGCACAUGAUCACAUCACAUGCCUCUGUCUUUUCUACAGACACGCGUUUGGAGCGAUUGAGUUCGGUAAAGUUGCUAGAUCUUAAGUUGCGAUUGCGUUUUUCUGGCUUUCUGGCUUCGGUUUGCGUUCACACAGAUCUCCGGCGGUUUUCAACAUUUUCCCUGAAUCAGAACCCAGUGUAUUUUUUAUCUAGAAUCGGGAGAACUUCCGCAAUCGUAACAUGCCGGCUGGUUUGAACCGGGCCAAACAGCUGAUUUUACUGCCGUACAUCAUUGUCUGUGCAGGUUGUGCUUCUGUACCGCAGACGUGUGUCCAGUGCUCUCUGUCUUGCGAUGGAGCGCCUAAGCUGAAGAGUAAUGAGAGCGUUAUUGUUCUUGUAGAGCAUCUUUCAGAAAAAGUUCAUGAAGAAGUAUGUACGCUCUCAAGUUUGUGUGAAAGAGGACGCUGUUCAGUGCCAGGCUGUUUCCAGAGGGACACGCUCUACACACUGAAAAUAUACACACAUAACAACGAUCCGGUGCCUGAAGUACUCGUUGACGAACCCAAUUUACGGCCUGACUGUGGUCCAGAGGGCGUACCAGUCAGGAAAUACACAAACGGUGCUGAUGGCAAACUGUCUAGCAAGCUCCUGAUCCUGCUGGCCUUUUGCUUUUGGAUCGUCUUCCACCUUGAGGGACCAAGAUAAUGUCACAUAUACACAGCAGCUACUCCAGGGCCAAAGAAAUGCUGUUCUUUAUGCACUACUGCAUUACAACAACUGAAACAAUCAUCUCAGGCUUUACAUUACAGGACAAUGGACUUUCUCAGACCAGGAGGCCUUUAUGAUCAAAAAUGCAUUAAAGGAACCAUUGUUUUUGUUAGGCCAGUCUGCUUUAAAAUGCAUGCUUUUAUAUCAGACUUCUCAUUCUCUUAAACAUUUGUCCACUUUAAGGCCACUGCCACUUUAUAUGUGCUUUUCUUGUCUUGUGCUACACAUACAGCAUUAC